GACGAACGCUGGCGGCGUGCUUAACACAUGCAAGUCGAACGGAAAGGCCCUGCUUUUGUGGGGUGCUCGAGUGGCGAACGGGUGAGUAACACGUGAGUAACCUGCCCUUGACUUUGGGAUAACUUCAGGAAACUGGGGCUAAUACCGGAUAGGAGCUCCUGCUGCAUGGUGGGGGUUGGAAAGUUUCGGCGGUUGGGGAUGGACUCGCGGCUUAUCAGCUUGUUGGGGGGGUAGUGGCUUACCAAGGCUUUGACGGGUAGCCGGCCUGAGAGGGUGACCGGCCACAUUGGGACUGAGAUACGGCCCAGACUCCUACGGGAGGCAGCAGUGGAGAAUAUUGCACAAUGGGCGGAAGCCUGAUGCAGCAACGCCGCGUGCGGGAUGACGGCCUUCGGGUUGUAAACCGCUUUCGCCUGUGACGAAGCGUGAGUGACGGUAAUGGGUAAAGAAGCACCGGCUAACUACGUG
rnacentral:rRNA from 1 species